ensembl:lncRNA
AUUUUCUUGUGACUAAAAAGUGUUUAGUCACAUGGCAUUUAUGAUUCAGUUCAUUGGCUCCAAAUUGGUUAAAGUUCCUUGUCUAAACUGAAGGCCCACGAGAGCAUGCAUGUCAGGCUGCUCACAGUUUGUUUACUGACCGUUUGAUGUACACUACACACAAAAACGCCAAGCGCUGGCUGAAAUCACUGCGUCCAGUCUGAUCGCCAGCUGGGAACAAAGUUGUGUUAAGAUGGUACAAGAUUGAUACAGUGAGCACUGAGGAAGAACAAAUCUGCCAAAGUUUGCAAGAGGGUUGAGCUGGACUCCUGCUAACACACUUUGAUCAUCAAACAGUCGAGAUAGUGUGGCGUUUCUUGCGGUUCAAUGCUGAAAAGGAAACGGUGGCUUUGUCAGGUCCGUGUCUCAACCUUGGAUGAAACUUUUCCUCUGGCAGAGAAGGGAUAAUGCAUAUCAAUCUGUGCUGAGAGCCUCUCAUCUCGUUCUUGACACUUACUGCUUUGCUUUCUUCAUCUCUCUCUCUGCCAUCCUCUUCCUCUUCUCUCUCAGCUGGUAAAUAUGUUGGAGGUGGCAGAGGUCUACUAAGCAGAGGUCAAGAGUGGAUAUUGCAGUUUUUCUCUCUGCAGUACUGUGGAAAGCAAAUGAAAAAGCAAGGCCUUCUGCUUGAUUGCCUGAAAAUGCCGGCCUGGUGUUUUCUUAUUUAGCUACUGGAGCUUUGAGAUUGGAUGCAGGAGUUUUUGAAAUGCUUUUGAGGAGCACAUAUAUUUUUAGAACCAGUACUGUGGGGAAUUUCUGUCUCCGAUUUAGGCUUAUUUGCAGGGAUUUAUUUAGCGAGAGAACAAACACUGACAUUAUUGCUGUUAAAACUGUAUUGAAUAUAAUAUAAGUAAUUUCCAUCUCGACAUCACAAUUUAUUAAUUCUGCCUGAAAGAGAUGUUACUAUUUAAAAUUAACUCCGUUUCCUACAUUUCACAACAUUGUCACUUGACUGCUAAUUUAAGCUUCAUCACUUGAUUGCAAAUGACUGAUAAUUUAAUUUGGAUGUUAAACUUGCAUCAGACACACUUUGACAACCGGCUAAUUUUCACUUAAAACAACAUCAUAUUUUAUCACA